rnacentral:lncRNA from 7 species
GUGAACAAUCACCGAGCUUCGCCAUGCAAAUCUGAGGGAGGGACAAGGUGGCCGCCGUCGGUGUAUUCCACCCGUGCUGCCAGUCCGUGGUCGGAGUAGGGCUGUGGGACAUCACCGGGUCCGAGGUAAUCCUAGGCGCGGAGUCGAGGGAGCCGAAGAUUAGUUGAGCCAUCACGAAUCCCUCAUCGGAGUCGAGAUGCCACUGCUGUCGCUGUCUGUCAUGGACUGAUCCCACCACCACCUCAUAGUCGGAGGGGCACUGCUCUGGUGAUGC